AGCUUUGCGCAGUGGCAGUAUCAUAGCCAAUGAGGUUUAUCCGAGGCGCGAUUAUUGCUAAUUGAAGUUCUGUCACUUUUUACUUUAUACAUUUUGAAGUUGUUAUAACA
rnacentral:snRNA from 1 species